ensembl:lncRNA
AGAAUCCAUUCUAUAAAUGCCAUUUUGUGUUAUGCCGCGGGGUGGGGGAAGGAGCCGAGGGCAGCUCCAGCACGCGGGUUUAUCCCGGGAUAAAUCCCUGCUCCAUCCUUACUCCGUCCCUGCUCCAUCCCGGGAUAAAUCCCUGCUCCAUCCCGGCUCCAUCCUGGCUCCAUCCCUGCUCCGUCUCUGCUCCAUCCCUGCUCCAUCCCUGCCCCAUCCCUGCUCCAUCCCCGCUCCAUCCCUCCUCCAUUCCCAUUUUGUUCCUGAUCCAUUUGGGUUGGGAAUAGUCACAGAUCAGGGCUGGGACAGGAACAGUGGGACAGGCAUGGAUGGGAUUGGGGUGGGAACAGUGGGACAGGCACAGAUCGGGGUUGGGACAAGAACAGCGGGACAGUCACGGAUCAGGGUUGGAAUAGGAACAGUGGGAACAGUCACGGGUUGGGGUUGGAAUGGGAGCAGUGGGAACAGUUACGGGUUGGGGAUGGGAUGGGAACAGUCAUGGAACGGGGUUUGGGGUGGGAACAGUGGCACAGUCACGGAUUGGGGUUGGUGUGGGAACAGUGGGACAGGCACAGAUCAGGGUUGGGACAGGAACAGUGGCACAGUCAGAUUGGAGUUGGGAUGGGAACAGUCACGGAUAAGGGUUGGAAUGGGAAGAGUGGCACAGUUACGGAUGGGAUUGGGGUGGGAACCAUCAUGGAUCAGGGUUGGAAUGGGAACAGUGGGAACAGUCAAGGGUCGGGGCUGGGACAGGAACAGUGGGACAGGCACAGAUGGGAUUGGGGUGGGAACAGUGGCACAGUCACGGAUGGGAUUGGGGUGGGAACAGUCACGGAUCAGGCUUGGAAUGGGAACAGUGGCACAGUCACGGAUCGGGGUUGUAAUGGGAACAGUGGCACAGUCACGGAUUGGGGUUGGGAUGGGAACAGUGGCACAGUCACGGAUGGGGAAUGCGGGCGCCCUCCCGGAGCUGGCACGGACAGCGGGGCUUUGUGCCCUCGCCCAGUCUAUCCAGCAAUAUUCGCCCAGGCCGCGCCCUCACGGCGGCACAGAGGGGCCUUUGUGUCACCAGCACGGCCACCGGAGACGGGGACAAGCAGAGCCCUGCAGGGGGAGGAUCGGGGAUGUGCCACGCCGGGGGUGGCACGCAGGGGUUACCUGGCAGGGCAGGGACACUGGGAGGCCAAAACCAGCUCGGCCGUGGGGAGGGAUGCGCCCAUGGGUGGUGCCAGGUGCGGAGGGAUGUGCCCCAUUCCCUGCGGGAUGGCACUGCCAGGUGGGGAUGGAUGCGCCCAUGGGGGGUGCCAUGUGGGGAUGGAUGUGCCCAUAGGGGGUGCCAGGUGAGGAUGGAUGUGCCCAUUCCCAGAUACCUGUGCCAGGUGGGGAUGGAUGUGCCCCAUUCCCUGUGGGAUGGCACUGCCAGGUGGGGAUGGAUGUGCCCAUGGGUGGUGCCAUGUGGGGAUGGAUGUGCCCCAUUCCCAGAUACCAGUGCCAGGUGGGGAUGGAUGUGCCCCAUUCCCUGCGGGAUACCGGUGCCAGGUGGGGAUGGUUGUGCCCCAUUCCCUUGGGCCGUGCCAGGUGUGGAUGGCAGUGCCAGGUGAGGAUGGCUGUGCCCAUUCCCUGAGGGAUGUCAGUGCCAGGUGGGAAUGGAUGUGCCCCAUUCAUGGAUACCGGUGCCAGGUGAGGAUGGAUGUGCCCCAUUCCCUGCGGGAUGGCACUGCCAGGUGGGGAUGGAUGUGCCCCAUGGGUGGUGCCAGGUGGGGAUGGCUGUGCCCCAUUCCCUUGGGCAGUGCCAUGUCAGAACCUGGUCAGGAAAUGCUUCCGCAAAUUCCCAAAUCCCCAAACCCCCAAAUUCCCAAAUCCCCAAACCCCCAAAUUCCCAAACCCCUAAAUCUCCAAACCCCGUAAUUCCCAAAUCCCCACAUUCCCAAACUCCCAAACCCCCAAAUCCCCAAACCCCGUAAUUCCCAAAUCCCCAAUUUCCCGAAUCUCUGAAUCCCCAAAUCCCCAAGCCCCCAAAUUCCCAAACCCCCAUAAUUCCCAAAUGAAUUUCCAAAUCCCCAAAUUCCUGAAUCUCCUAAUCCCCAAACCCCCAAAGCCCCAAACCCCAUAAUUCCCAAAUCAAUUCCCAAAUCCCCAAACCCCCAAAUCCCGUAAUUCCCAAAUCCCCAAAUUCCCGAAUGUCCUAGUCCCCAAAUCCCCAAACCCCGUAAUUCCCAAAUCAAUUCCCAAAUCCCCAAACCCCCAAAUUCUCGCUGCUCCCGCCACCACCCCAAUCCCUGCUCGGGGAAAAGCCGCGCCAGGCCCCGAGCUGGGGACAGCGGGGACAGCGACAGCGGCACGGGGGGGACACCCGACCCUGGAGGCUCCCGAAUGGGCACAAAUCCCUCUCCAGGCGGACACAAAAACCCUUUUCCCCUCGGAGGCGGCGAGUGCCGGUGAAUUUUCGGAACCCGAGAUAAGCAGUGACAAAAAAAAAAAAAAAAAAUUAAAAAAAAAUUAAAAAAAAAAAACCCUUUAAAGACCUUUUGGCACCGCGCGGCUCCGAGCCUGCCACAGCUGAAGGGCCCGGAAAUUCUGCUCCUGAUCAAACGCGGCCAAGCGGCGGCUGCUGAGUUCUCUAAAUCGCACCCCAAAAAAAUAAAAAAUAAUUAAAUAAAACCCA